UCGCCAGAGCAUGCUACUCACAGACACGAUAGGAUAAAGGCUGAUGAAUACUAUAGGGAGAACUUCCUGAUGCAAAUGAAGUCCAUCUGGAAAAAAAAAAGCAGAAAAAUCAAAGAAAUCUAAACAGAGAGACCAACAUAAUACAAAAAAAUGGAAGGUUUUUAUGCAUUUGCGGGUCAUGAUGAUCAGCGCUGAAUACCCUAAGCUGUGUCAGUACCUCUGUGCAGAAAAGCAAAAGCACUUAGAGAGCCUGGCAAGUGAAGGCAAGAUGAUUUUUCUGCAACUCAGAAGUGAAACUAGAAUGGCCAAGACAGGGAGACUCCUGAGAGGAAUGGAUGAGAAAAUGAAGGAAAUAUGCUAGAAAGCAGAUAUGAACCU